GUAAUGCCAAAAGCGCCUCCCGCCCAAACAGAGGGCGCUGGGCCCCGACCCGGCCGCUGCGAGAAGGGGGCACCGGACCCCGCCUCUGUCACGGUGCCGCUAGAUCUGCGGUGGCUGAUGGGAGUUGUAGGCCGGGGUGUACUACAUCUCCCACAAGCAUCUGCUUCAUUCCUUGCCCCUGCCCCUCCCCCGCUAGCGGGGCUUAGCUGGGCACAUGAAGGUUCAGGAUUACAUCCUCCUCCUCCUGCCAGCCAGAAUCUUGUGUCUGAAGCAGAUUUCAAGGCAGAAAUAGACCUUUAGGGUCACCGCUUUGUUAUCACUGUCUGGUUUCCAUCUCCCUGGAUGGUCUCAGGGUGGCUGCUCCUUUUGGUCUCUGCCACAGAACCAAGGGAAAAGAAGUUUGAGGAUCAGAGUCCAGCCCUGUUGUGAAAUGGAAAGCACACCUGAGCAAGUGCUUCAUGGGCCCCCCACUGCCUAUCAAACUUCUCCAUCAAUGAGCGGGAAUGAAUCUCUUCCUGUCUUGGGUGUGUUGAGUUCACACAGGUUUUUUGCUCCCUUGGGGUGGAGUGUGGUCUUUGGCUGAAGGUGACAUGGUUUGGUUGCCUUGAGGAUGCUAUGUUACUCCUGGAGGAAUUCUGUGCCACUGUACAUGUUCAUAAUUAAUGAGCUGCACAUAUUUUUAAUUUGUUGCUCAGAAAAAAGACUUCUGCUAGAAAGUUGCUGCAGUUCCACCUUUCCCCGCCCCCCUCCACACCCCACCAGAGGGCUCUGUGGCACUAGAUCAGAGCAGCAGCUCCCAGGAGAAAACUUCUGCAGCUCUGCCUUUUGCCCACCAGAGGGCACUGUGGCGCUAGAACACAAUAGCCGCUCCCAGCCAGCCUUUUUCACAGCACCUGUUGGGCCAGAUCAGGAGACAGGCUAUGGGGAGACAGACAGGGUCUCAUAAGGGCUAGUGGGGGAGGAGAGGUGGGGGCAGGGGCUGAAUGGGAGUGGAGGUGCAGGGCCACAUGGGCAGAGGGAACAGGAGUACUUGUGGCACCUUAGAGACUAACAAAUUUAUUAGAGCAUAAGCUUUCGUGAACUGCAGCCCACUUCUUCGGAUGCAUAGGGGCAGAGGGGGAGUGAAGCGCAGAGCUGAGCUACA